rnacentral:misc_RNA from 1 species
UCUCCGUUGGUGAACCAGCGGAGGGAUCAUUACUGAGUUUACGCUCUAUAACCCUUUGUGAACAUACCUAUAACUGUUGCUUCGGCGGGUAGGGUCUCCGCGACCCUCCCGGCCUCCCGCCUCCGGGCGGGUCGGCGCCCGCCGGGGGACCUACAAACUCUUGUAUUCCUAGCGGAUCUCUGAGUGUGAUUUAAACAAAUCAAAUCAAAACUUUCAACAACGGAUCUCUUGGUUCGGGCAUCGAUGAAGAACGCAGC